GAUGAACGCUAGCGGCAGGCUUAAUACAUGCAAGUCAAGGGGGUAGCAAUACAACCGGCGCACGGGUGAGUAACGCGUACACAACAUACCAUAUACUGGAGUAUAGCUUUGGGAAACUGAAGGUAAUCCUCCAUAACAUUGCGAGAGGGCAUCUGAUUGCAAUUAAAGUUCCGGCGGUAUAUGAUUGGUGUGCGUUUGAUUAGCUAGUUGGUAGGGUAACGGCCUACCAAGGCGACGAUCAAUAGCUGGCGUGAGAGCGCGACCAGCCACACUGGAACUGAGACACGGUCCAGACUCCUACGGGAGGCAGCAGUAGGGAAUAU
rnacentral:rRNA from 1 species